rnacentral:rRNA from 1 species
GACGAACGCUGGCGGCGUGCUUAACACAUGCAAGUCGAACGGAAAGGCCCUGCUUUUGUGGGGUUCUCGAGUGGCGAACGGGUGAGUAACACGUGAGUAACCUGCCCUUGACUUUGGGAUAACUUCAGGAAACUGGGGCUCAUACCGGAUAUGAGCUCCUGCUGCAUGGUGGGGGUUGGAAAGUUUCGGCGGUUGGGGAUGGACUCGCGGCUUAUCAGCUUGUUGGUGGGGUAGUGGCUUACCAAGGCUUUGACGGGUAGCCGGCCUGAGAGGGUGACCGGCGACAUUGGGACUGAGAUACGGCCCAGACUCCUACGGGAGGCAGCAGUGGGGAAUAUGGCACAAUGGGCGGAAGCCUGAUGCAGCAACGCCGCGUGCGGGAUGACGGGCUUCGGGUUGUAAACCGCUUUCGCCUGUGACGAAGCGUGAGUGACGGUAAUGGGUAAAGAAGCACCGGCUAACUACGUG